rnacentral:lncRNA from 1 species
GUGACACACACUUCUGCUUGUGAUUUGUAUCUGGGACUCGGAGCCCCAGCUUUGGCUUCCAGAAUCUCUGAAUUGACAGGUUCAAAAGCAUCAAUUGUACAAGUGCCAGCUGGAGGAGACCUUGCCUGAAUGCAGUUUUCUGGUAAUGAGAUCCAUCAGAGAUGACAUGAGGACAUGGUCUAUCCUGGUUUGGGUGAACAGACUGGCUUAAUGAGCUAGUAAGCA